AGCAGCCGCGGUAAUUCCAGCUCCAAUAGCGUAUAUUAAAGUUGUUGCAGUUAAAAAGCUCGUAGUUGAAUUUCGGGAUCAAUUAGUCGGUCGUGCCUCUGGUACGUACUGGUUUUAUUGGUUCCUCCCUUCUGACGAAACAUGAUGUCAUUAAUUUGGUGUCGUGGAGAAUCAGGACUGUUACCUUGAAAAAAUUAGAGUGUUUAUAGCAGGCUAACGCUUGAAUACAUUAGCAUGGAAUAAUGAAAUAGGACGUUCGACCCUAUUUUGUUGGUUUCUAGGAUCGACGUAAUGAUUAAUAGGGAUAGUUGGGGGCAUUAGUAUUCAAUUGUCAGAGGUGAAAUUCUUGGAUUUAUUGAAGACUAACUACUGCGAAAGCAUUUGCCAAGGAUGUUUUCAUUAAUCAAGAACGAAAGUUAGGGGAUCGAAGACGAUCAGAUACCGUCGUAGUCUUAACCAUAAACUAUGCCGACUAGGGAUCGGAUGAUGUUAAUUUUUUAAUGACUCAUUCGGCGCCUUA
rnacentral:ncRNA from 2 species